rnacentral:tRNA from 1 species
GGGAGAUUAGCUCAGCUGGUAGAGCAGCGGACUCUUAAUCCGUUUGUCCGGGGUUCGAUCCCCCGAUCUCCCA